GAUGAACGCUGGCGGCGUGCUUAACACAUGCAAGUCGAACGAAGCACUUUAUUUGAUUUCCUUCGGGACUGAUUAUUUUGUGACUGAGUGGCGGACGGGUGAGUAACGCGUGGGUAACCUGCCUUGUACAGGGGGAUAACAGUUGGAAACGGCUGCUAAUACCGCAUAAGCGCACAGCAUCGCAUGAUGCAGUGUGAAAAACUCCGGUGGUAUAAGAUGUACCCGCGUUGGAUUAGCUAGUUGGUGAGGUAACGGCCCACCAAGGCGACGAUCCAUAGCCGACAUGGGAGGGUGACCCGCGACAUUGGGACUGAGACACGGCCCAAACUCCUACGGGAGGCAGCAGUGGGGAAUAUUGCACAAUGGGCGAAAGCCUGAUGCAGCGACGCCGCGUGAGCGAAGAAGUAUUUCGGUAUGUAAAGCUCUAUCAGCAGGGAAGAUAAUGACGGUACCUGACUAAGAAGCACCGGCUAAAUACGUG
rnacentral:rRNA from 1 species